UACGUAGGGGGCAAGCGUUGUCCGGAAUCAUUGGGCGUAAAGCGCGUGUAGGCGGUUCGAUAAGUCUGCUGUGAAAGUCCAGGGCUCAACCCUGGGUUGCCGGUGGAUACUGUCGGGCUAGAGUACGGAAGAGGCGAGUGGAAUUCCCGGUGUAGCGGUGAAAUGCGCAGAUAUCGGGAGGAACACCAGCGGCGAAGGCGGCACUCUGGGCUGGAACUGACGCUGAGGAGCGAAAGCGUGGGGAGCAAACAGG
rnacentral:rRNA from 1 species